rnacentral:antisense_RNA from 1 species
GUGCGAGGGAGAGGAGGAGAGGAGAAGAGAGGAGCCUACCAUGCGCUUCUCCCGGUGCAGAUCGCGGGAGAGCCCAAUCACGGGGCGAGCUGGACCUGGCUGUGAUCAUUUAUAAUCCUUGACUCCUCCGCUCCGCCACUUGUCAAGAUGACAGGUUCAGUGCUAGAAUUUCUGCAUUGGAUGGAUUAAGAAUCUACUGGGAGCCAAGUCACUUAAAAGUAUCAGUUAUUCCCAAUAUUCCCUUCAUCUAAUGAAGUUCCUCCACAUUUCAUGAUCCUUGUGACAAUCCACCCCAGACUAUGGUGAGAGACCCAGAGCUGCAGCAGUUUUGGUUGUGGUUAUUCUGACAUUGACCCUAAGGGAGCAAGGAUGUUUCUCAGGAGAUCACAAACUCCUGGAAGGCAAGACCUGUAUGUUACACAGCUCACAGGCAAAUGAUUGAUAUACAGUGGGUUUUAGGAUGGAGAGAAGUUGAAGCCAACCCAGUCUGAGUGGUAAGGGUGAAAGAGAGACAUUUUAUCAUAAUGAAAGUCUUCAUUGAUUAGGAACUUAGAAGGGCUCCAACAA